AAUGGACGAAAGUCUGACGGAGCAACGCCGCGUGAGUGAUGAAGGUUUUCGGAUCGUAAAACUCUGUUGUUAGGGAAGAACAAGUACCGUUCGAAUAGGGCGGCACCUUGACGGUACCUAACCAGAAAGCCACGGCUAACUACGUGCCAGCAGCCGCGGUAAUACGUAGGUGGCAAGCGUUGUCCGGAAUUAUUGGGCGUAAAGCGCGCGCAGGCGGUUUCUUAAGUCUGAUGUGAAAGCCCCCGGCUCAACCGGGGAGGGUCAUUGGAAACUGGGGAACUUGAGUGCAGAAGAGGAGAGUGGAAUUCCACGUGUAGCGGUGAAAUGCGUAGAGAUGUGGAGGAACACCAGUGGCGAAGGCGACUCUCUGGUCUGUAACUGACGCUGAGGCGCGAAAGCGUGGGGAGCGAA
rnacentral:rRNA from 1 species